AUGAAGAGAAGCCACUGCCGUUCACAAACCACCGCCUUCGCUCAUAAGUCACGAACGCCGCCGCCACCGCUACUUGGAGACGGGAUGAAGCGAAGCCCCCGCCGCUCACGAACCGUCACCGUCACCUUCGCUCACGAGUCACAAACGACACCGAUGCUGGUAUUUGGAGACGGGAUGAAGAGAAGCCGCUACCUUUCACGAACCGCCGCCGCGUUCGUUCACGAGUCACGAACAAGGCCGACACUGCUACUUGGGGACGGGGUCAAGAGAAGCCGCUGCCGCUCACGAACCACCGCCGCUGCCUUCGCUCACAACUCACGAGCAACGCCGCCACCGUCGCCUUCGCUCAUGAGUCACGAACGCCGCCACCACCGCUGCCCUCAAUCACGAAUUGGUGGGGAACUUGUGACGAGUUUGCUAGGUUAG
rnacentral:rRNA from 1 species